rnacentral:lncRNA from 1 species
AGUACAUUUAUGCUUCAUUAAAAUAGAGUAAAUUUAAAUUCAACCUGCAGGGUGAAAUAUCAUUUGGCUCCCCGGGGCCCAAGGGUCGGCAGGGCUUGCCAGGAGAUGAAGGGGGCCUUGGGCAACCAGGAAUUUCUGGCCCCCCUGGAUUAUCAGGAUGUCCAGGUCAAAGAGGAAGGGAUGGACCACCAGGAGAAAAUGGUGUGCGGGGUCCUGAUGGUUUGCCUGGAGUGGCUGGUGUUCCUGGGUACUGUACGCCAGGAGCCAAAAGCGAUGAAGGGCCCUUAGGCAUUAAAGGGCUAGAUGGACCCAGUGGGCUGCCAGGGCUGAAGGGGCCACAAGGUGAAACUGGACCACCUGGACAGGGUGUACCUGGUAUAACAGGUGAAAUUGGAAUACCUGGAAAAAUCGGAGAUGCUGGUCUGGUUGGUAUCCGGGGAUCAAACGGUUUCCAAGGUCGGGAUGGUUCACCAGGCUUUCCAGGUACUUGACAUCCAAUUUUUUAACUUGGAGGCUGGUCAAGC